UUUCUGUAGUCAGGCAUGAAGCCAGGCAUGCCCGUGUAUACAUUCUUCUCAGUUGGCAAGGUAUCAUAGAAGUUCUUCUAGGUCAAUGCAUGUACAUGUAGCUUACUUUUAAUGGCUGCAUAAUAGUCUGUUCAAUGGGUAUAUAUGUUUUUCAGGCAUUCUUUGAUUAAUGAAUCUUUAGAUCAUUUUCUAUUUUUGGUUUUUUGCCACUGAAACAGUACUGCCAUGUCUCCCAGGUGUGUGUGUGUGUCUUUCCAAGUUUUAUCUUCAGACUAUGUUACUACUAGUUGCAGUUAACUACUCAUCCCCAAAUCUGUAAAUAUGUCUUCCUGUGACCCUGACACUACUCUGUCGUGAUUCUUAGUGAUUUCAAUAUCGUUCUAACACUGUGGUCUUAUUAUUUCAUACUCCAGCCUGCCUUUGCUAUUCCUUUUCCAUGACCAUUCAUUCUGCCACUCUCCUAGAUGACUAUUUUAUACUUUCUCCUUAAUUUUCUAAUACCUUCCUUUCUGCCUCCCUCACAUCCAAUGAUUUUGCUUAUUACUCUGAGAAAAUAGAAGCACCCAGAAGAAAAUCUUCUGCAAGCUCCUAUUCCUGCACAUCUGUGUCCCUGUUUCUCCCACCCUCUCUCCUCCUCCAGAGGUGUGGCUCUCUUCUGCAUAAUACUUUCCUCUGCUGGUUCAUAGCUAUCAGUCUGCAGACAAGCUCUACUAUUUAUGUUAAAAACAAAAGAACCUCUUUUGUCCUGGCCUGUUACCAUUACUUUGUUCUUUAGAGCUCUUUCUACUUACUGUCUUUCUGCCCUUUCUUGAACCCUCUUCAUUUGAGCUUUGGUCCUUAACACUUAAGCUCUUUUCAAGUUUAAGGUCAGUGGAGACCUUCACAUUAUCAAAACCAGUGUUUAACUCUCAGGCUUCCUCUUUUAUUUCCUCUUUUUUGGCUUCCCUGUUCAUACUCUGUGCCCAUUUUCCUUGUGUUGCUUGACUUUUAUUUUAAUUUAUAGGCGCUCUUUGUAUAUUUUGUCAGCAUUUUUUCCUGGACACUUGUUUUCCUUUUGAUUCUUUUAAAGUUGUGUUUCGUCAUACAGAAAUGUUAACUCCUCUGGAUUUUGUAGGAAAAUAACUCUAUAAGAAUCAAUGAGAAUUUUGAAAAAUGUGGGUAGUGAAGGUCUUACCAGAUAUUUAAAGCAGAAGUUCUCAAGCAUUAGUGUACAAAAACCUGCAUGGUUGCAUUUUAAAAAUGAAUCUGUCACAGGAGUUUUCAAUUUUUAGGUAUUGGGGCAGUAAGGAACAUAGGGAGGCAUAUCUGAGGAAUCUUCAUUUUAAAUGACCUCUAAGGUAAUUCUGAUAUGAUUGGUCCAUGGGCCACAUUUAAGAAACAUUGCACUUUGGGAGGCCGAGGCGGGCGGAUCACGAGGUAGGAGAUCGAGACCAUCCCGGCUAACACAGUGAAACCCUGUCUCUACUAAAGAUACAAAAACAAAAUUAGCCGGGCGCAGUGGCGGGCGCCUGUAGUCCCAGCUACUCGGGAGGCUGAGGCAGGAGAAUGGCGUGAACCCGGGAGGCGGAGCUUGCAGUGAGCCGAGAUUGCGCCACUGCACUCCAGCCUGGGCAAAAGAGUGAGACUCUGUCUCAAAAAACAAAAACAAACAAACGAAAACAAAACAAAAAAAGAAGCAUUGCUGUAAAUUUAUAUUUGGUAUAAAGGGGUAUUAGCAAAGUAGUAGGCAAAUACAUGGCAGGAACAGAAUGGUGUUUAGAAACACAUUCAAGUGUGAAUGAGAAAUUAUUAAUGAAGAGGACAUUUUGUCUAUUUGAGAAAAGAGUGGUUUAUUUAAAAAUGCUUUAGGCAGUUUAUCUGAGAGGAAAGAAUUUAGCUUUCACCGUCAUACGAUAUAGAAAAAUAAACACUGUUGAAUUAAAGAUCUAGAUGUAAAAAUUAGGUAAACACUGGAAAAAAUACAGGAGACUGAUAGUUUAACCUUUGGAUAGCUGAGGCCUUUUAAAACUAGAUUGGAAACCUAGAAGCUGUGAAAGAAAAAUUGACAGAUUUAGCUGUUCAAGUUUACUUUUACUUUUGAAAGAUAAUGUUCUAACACGGUGAAAUCCCAUCUCUACUAAAAAAUACAAAAAUUAGCUGGGCGUGGUGGCAGGCGACUGUCGUCCCAGCUACUCAGGAGGCUGAGGCAGGAGAAUCGCUUGAACCUGGGAGGCAGAGCUUGCAGUGAGCCGAGAUCGCAUCACUGCUCUCCAGCCAGGCAACGGACGGGACUCUCUCUC
rnacentral:lncRNA from 1 species